rnacentral:rRNA from 1 species
UCAGCAGCCGCGGUAAGACAUAUGGGGCGAGCGUUACUCGGAAUCACUAGGCGUAAAGCGCGUGUAGGUGGAUGCUUAAGUCUGUUGUGAAAUCUCCCGGCUCAACUGGGAGCGGUCAACGGAAACUGGGCGUCUUGAGUGAGGUAGGGGUCAUCGGAAUUCCUGGUGUAACGGUGAAAUGUUCAGAUAUCAGGAGGAACACCGACGGCGAAAGCAGAUGACUGGGCCUCCACUGACGCUGAGACGCGAAAGCUAGGGGAGUAAACAGGAUUAGAUACCCUGGUAAUCCUAGCCGUAAACGAUGAUAACUAGGUGUGGGAGGUAUCGACCCCUCCUGUGCCGACGCUAACGCAUUAAGUUAUCCGCCUGGGGAGUACGGCCGCAAGGUUAAAACUCAAAGGAAUUGACGGGGGCCCGCACA